UUUAAGACUAUUAUUAAGAAAAUAUUCUUUGUUAAAGAUAACUGUUACUUAAAAGAAGUAAAGUAAACUAAGUAAUCAUUUUACUUAGCAAUAGAAUAAUAUUUUUCUGUGUGUACUUUCAAUGGUCUUGUUUGAAUGCGGAAGCUAUUCCUCAACAUCAAUAAAAUCAUAUAUAAUUGCCGAGAAUUUUUAAAUAUACAUGCGGUGUGUAAGAAAUUCGAUAAACAUCACGACACGCGCAGCGGCGGUCAUUCAGGAAAUUAUUUUUAUGCUGGCUCAUUUUCAUGUUACCGAAGUUUCGUAUUCACGUUAAUAAAGUUGGUGUAGAGUGAAUUAUGAGUCUCCACACAAUUCAUGGAUAUUACUUUUCAUCUUAUAUUUACGCUACUAUAUUGUUAUUAACGAUUAAUGCAUCGUCAUUUGCACCUACCAAUACCUACGCUAUACCGAUUAAACUCUCAGAAAGAAGCAGCUUUAAACCUAUAAGCUAUAUGACUUCAAAAGUAAUGGGUGCAGUCGUCAAAACUAUUUCAUCCAUUGAUCAAUGGUUCCCGCAUACCUCAUGGAUGAAACCGACUAACUCGAAGUUAAGAGUCGUACGGCCAAUCAACAUUUAUCAUCGGGAUAUCGAUGACUUCUCUUCUGAAGAAUAAGAUUGUUAAUGUUUUUCUCAAAUUAGAGAGAUAAUACAAGAUUCCGCUAAUUUAUUUGCUGCAUGUUAAUUAAAUACGUAAUUAGAUAAUUUUGAUACUAAAAAAUCUCAUUAAUUAAUAUUUAUAUUAAUCUCGAUGUUAUAUUAUUUAUAUAUAAUUAUACAAAAUGCAACAUGAUUUAUAAAAUAAAAAAUAAAAGCAUCGUGGCAAUGUCAAAUAA